UACGUAGGGUGCGAGCGUUGUCCGGAAUUACUGGGCGUAAAGAGCUCGUAGGUGGUUUGUCGCGUUGUUCGUGAAAACUCACAGCUUAACUGUGGGCGUGCGGGCGAUACGGGCAGACUGGAGUACUGCAGGGGAGACUGGAAUUCCUGGUGUAGCGGUGGAAUGCGUAGAGAUCCGGAGGAACCCCAGAGGCGAAGGCGGCGUCCUGGCUCGCAUCUGACGCUCAGACACGACAGCAUGGGGAGCGAACGGG
rnacentral:rRNA from 1 species